rnacentral:rRNA from 1 species
AAACCGUUCAGGGGUAAACCUGAGAAACCCAAAAGAUCGAAUGGGGAGAUUCAUCGUCAGCGGCGUUGGCUUCCGUGUGGUACGCGAUGCUCGGGGCCUCGGCUCCGCUGCACGUGUCCGCUGUGGUAUGUUCGACGUCGUCGGCGUGCACUUCUCCCCUAGUAGGACGUCGCGACCCGUUGGGUGUCGGCCUACGGCCCGGGUGGUCGACUGCCACGUCGUUUCGGCGCACGUGGCAGACCCCCGGAUGCCCGGCCGGCUGCUCGGCGGUACUCGCACGGUAUCGGGCCGCACGAACUGCGUCAGGCCCGCCGCAAGCGCGGCCAGUGUUACCCGGGAUGCGGACCUAGUGCCGUUUUCGGGCCUGGCCAGCUGUUGGUUGGCGGUGUCCUCGGACUGGCUCUGUUGAAUUGAUACCGGUCGGCGACGCUACUGCUUUGGGUACUUUCAGGA